rnacentral:rRNA from 1 species
UGAGGAAUUUUGCACAAUGGGGGAAACCCUGAUGCAGCGACGCCGCGUGAGUGAUGAAGGCCUUAGGGUCGUAAAGCUCUGUCAGCAGGGAAGAAACGUUUAAUGGCUAAUAUCCAUUGAAUUUGACGGUACCUGCAAAGGAAGCACCGGCUAACUCUGUGCCAGCAGCCGCGGUAAUACAGAGGGUGCGAGCGUUGUUCGGAUUUACUGGGCGUAAAGGGCGCGUAGGCGGCCUGUCAAGUCAGAUGUGAAAGCCCACGGCUCAACCGUGGAAGUGCAUCUGAAACUGGCAGGCUUGAGUACUGGAGGGGAGUGUGGAAUUCCUGGUGUAGAGGUGAAAUUCGUAGAUAUCAGGAGGAAUACCGGUGGCGAAGGCGACACUCUGGACAGAUACUGACGCUGAGGCGCGAAAGCGUGGGGAGCAAACAGGAUUAGAUACCCUGGUAGUCCACAGCUGUAAACGAUGUGCACUAGGCGUAGGGGGUCGUUGACCCUUUCUGUGCCGCAGCUAACGCAUUAAGUGCACCGCCUGGGGAGUACGGUCGCAAGAUUA